AUUGAACGCUGGCGGCAGGCUUAACACAUGCAAGUCGAGCGGGGUGAUGGUGCUUGCACUAUCACUUAGCGGCGGACGGGUGAGUAAUGCUUAGGAAUCUGCCUAUUAGUGGGGGACAACAUCUCGAAAGGGAUGCUAAUACCGCAUACGUCCUACGGGAGAAAGCAGGGGAUCACUUGUCACCCUGCGCUAAUAGAUGAGCCUAAGUCGGAUUAGCUAGUUGGUGGGGUAAAGGCCUACCAAGGCGACGAUCUGUAGCGGGUCUGAGAGGAUGAUCCGCCACACUGGGACUGAGACACGGCCCAGACUCCUACGGGAGGCAGCAGUGGGGAAUAUUGGACAAUGGGGGGAACCCUGACCCAGCCAUGCCGCGUGUGUGAAGAAGGCCUUAUGGUUGUAAAGCACUUUAAGCGAGGAGGAGGCUCUUUUGGUUAAUACCCAAGAUGAGUGGACGUUACUCGCAGAAUAAGCACCGGCUAACUCUGUGCCAGCCGCCGCCGUAA
rnacentral:rRNA from 1 species